AAAUGUUGUGAGAUUCCUUGAAGGAUUGUGAAAAUUCCAUUUUACAUGGCUGAGUGCCCAUAUCCAGUCUAAGCAAUGGAAACUCUCCAGUUCAAAUCCAAUGAAUAUUAGGGAAGGAACUACGGUUGCUGACUUGCGUUGAAGAAGCAUCUGCUUAAUGUCUGGUCAAAGCUUACAAGUGAUCCAGAAAUCUAUGGUUAAAAAGCCAAGUACUUCACAAUCUACUGCAAAGGGGGAAAUACAGGAAGAUAGAAAUCUUCUGCAAGGAAGAAUGAAUUUAAGGACUUCUCACUAAAGUGGACAAACACAUUUAGUCACUUUGACAAAGCAGGGCAAACUGAGUUGGCAUACAAGUUACCUGAGAAGA